CCCUUAGAUGUUCUGGGCCGCACGCGUGCUACACUGAGUGGAUCAGCGGGUCAGGUUGCGCGAAAGCGUUUCCUAAUCUUGAAAUCCGCUCGUGAUGGGGAUUGACGGUUGCAAUUUUCUGUCAUGAACGAGGAAUACCUUGUAAGCGCGAGUCAUCAUCCCGCGCUGAAUACGUCCCUGCCCUUUGUACACACCGCCCGUCGCUCCUACUGAUUGAGUGGUCCGGUGAGGCUUUGGGAUCUGAGCGGAAAGAGCGUUUCGCUCGUUCUGCCCGGAAAACUCAGUCGAACCUUAUCAUUUAGAGGAAGGAGAAGUCGUAACA
rnacentral:rRNA from 1 species